rnacentral:rRNA from 1 species
GACGUAGGGCGCGAGCGUUGUCCGGAUUUAUUGGGCGUAAAGAGCUCGUAGGCGGCUUGUCGCGUCGUCUGUGAAAACCCGCGGCUCAACGGCGGGCUUGCAGUCGAUACGGGCAGGCUGGAGUUCGGUAGGGGAGACUGGAAUUCCUGGUGUAGCGGUGAAAUGCGCAGAUAUCAGGAAGAACACCCGUGGCGAAGGCGGCUCUCUGGGACGGUACUGACGCUGAGACGCGAAAGCGUGGGGAGCGAACAGG